rnacentral:rRNA from 1 species
UAAAAAAAGGUAAGCUACUAAGAGCGAAUGGUGGAUGCCUUGACUGGUAAAGGCGAUGAAGGACGUACUAGACUGCGAUAAGCUACGGGGAGCUGUCAAGAAGCUUUGAUCCGUAGAUUUCCGAAUGGGGCAACCCAAUGUAUAGAGAUAUACAUUACCUAUAUAGGAGCGAACGAGGGGAAUUGAAACAUCUUAGUACCCUCAGGAAAAGAAAUCAAUAGAGAUUGCGUCAGUAGCGGCGAGCGAAAGCGCAAGAGGGCAAACCCAGUGCUUGCACUGGGGGUUGUAGGACUGCAAUGUGCAAGAGCUGAGUUUAGCAGAACAUUCUGGAAAGUAUAGCCAUAGAGGGUGAUAGUCCCGUAUGCGAAAAACAAAGCUUAGCUAGCAGUAUCCUGAGUAGGGCGGGACACGAGGAAUCCUGUCUGAAUCCGGGUCGACCACGAUCCAACCCUAAAUACUAAUACCAGAUCGAUAGUGCACAAGUACCGUGAGGGAAAGGUGAAAAGAACUGAGGUGAUCAGAGUGAAAUAGAACCUGAAACCAUUUGCUUACAAUCAUUCAGAGCACUAUGUAGCAAUACAGUGUGAUGGACUGCCUUUUGCAUAAUGAGCCUGCGAGUUGUGGUGUCUGGCAAGGUUAAGCAAACGCGAAGCCRUAGCGAAAGCGAGUCUGAAUAGGGCGCUUAGUCAGAUGCUGCAGACCCGAAACGAAGUGAUCUAUCCAUGAGCAAGUUGAAGCUAGUGUAAGAACUAGUGGAGGACUGAACCCAUAGGCGUUGAAAAGCCCCGGGAUGACUUGUGGAUAGGGGUGAAAGGCCAAUCAAACUUCGUGAUAGCUGGUUCUCUCCGAAAUAUAUUUAGGUAUAGCGUUGUGUCGUAAUAUAAGGGGGUAGAGCACUGAAUGGGCUAGGGCAUACACCAAUGUACCAAACCCUAUCAAACUCCGAAUACCUUA